GCUCACAAAAUAUAGCUUACAAAAGAAGCUUGCUGCUUGUGACUUCAUUUGGUAAUUUCAGGCUCAGCUAAAGAAGAGAGGAGAGUCAGACAAUCAGACAGACGGCCCCUCGCCCUCUCAGCUCUCACGCUCACCGAAAUCUCCAUUCUUGCCUCGAGCUGCCCGUGUGCUGCCUCCUGCUGGCGGCAAAGAGAACGGAGAAGAGUCCUCACCUCAGUGGCUGAAAGAACUAAAGACUAAAAAACGUUUGAGUCAGUAUGAAGGCGACAGUACGGCCUGAACAAGCAGGAUGCCUUAUAACUGCAGUAUCUGUAGCUGUAAACUCGUGACAGAAGCCUUAACCUUUGACCUGGAGUUGACGGGAACUCUGCUGCUGCUGCUGACUACGACAUCAUUCUGUUUCGUUGUUUAUUCCUCGCAUUCCUCUCCAGCCUGAGUCGUGUACAUGUGCAUGGUGCCUUUCUAAAAGAUUUCUGGCUGACAUAAAGGUCGAAGCAGAGAUCUGUGUAUGAAGCGUGUGUCCAUAAAUGUGUUGUCGAGUUUCUCUGCAGCCCUUCGUCAUGUGAGAGAGAAUUAUUUUUGCAUAGAGCCACUUUAACCUCUAGUGACGAGAGAUCAUCGUUUAUAGUGGACGUGUGGUACCACACGCACCUACAAGUAACCUGAAGUGCUUCAUAUAACUGGAGUAUGAUGCUGGUUUAUUUUUACCCUUUAUGUUCAUAUUAGCACAGUUUUCAUGCUUUUUUUUUUCAUUCACUCGAUGAUUAUAGGUAUCAGUUGCACAUGCAUUUCUAUAGACGUCAUGAUUUUAUUUCGAAACUUUAUUAGUCAACAAAUCAUUGCUGAGCUGUAUAGAAAGUGUAUUUAGUAAUGACACAUGUCCAUGUAAUCACAAAGUUAUAUUUGUAUUAAUGCCAGUUUGAAAGAGGAAAAUGGUAAAUGAUCAAAAAGGAGUCAAAAUUCUUCAUUUAAGAAGAACUGCGGCCCUCUGAACUGUAUGCGUGUUGAUGUGUGUGUGGGAACCUGAUUGGAUGGGCCACCAAAUGAAAUUAGUUCAUUUGUUUGCACACGUUUUCACGCCCAAUAGCCCAUAUUUUGUGCUUGGAUUUGGAUAAUGUGUUUAGUUUCACCAUUCCAUCAUAUUUUCAGUUGAAUCCAUCAUUUCAUGAUUGGAAAAAAAAAUUGCGCAUGUACAAUCAAUCGUUCCCUUUCUUUCACUUUAUUUUUGCUAUUUCUAUCCCAAUACUUUACUUGCUUUAAUGAUGGGCCAAAAAUGAUGGUAGGAAAUUGCACAAUCAGCAUAAAAAUUUAGUUUUCUUCCCUUACAAUGUAAUAAUGAAUAAAUACAAAGGGAAAAUGUUUCAUUUGUGUCCCUCACUCACAUCUUAAUUUUUUUUUUUUUUUAGUUUACUAGUUCGCUUAAGGGAAGUUUGAAAUGUCAAAGUACUGUAAACAUUGUUCAGAUAACAUUGCACACUAGUUGUUACCGUAUUUUUAAAAGAAAACAAAACAAAUGCUGGGUCAUUUUGCCACUUAACAAGCACUUUCCACCUGUUAAUGAACUGCGUUUCUGACCAAUAGUCACUUUUGUAUCGCAUGAGUCUUCGUUGAUGUCUAUGUUGUGAUGUUGGUAUGCUGGUGGUAUGUGAGUAAUGAGUAAUGUGUCCUACUUUUUUUUUUUUUUUUUUCUAAUAUCAGCUUCUUUUUCUGUCUGCCUACAGUUGUUGUAGUCUGUUUAAGGGUAAUUUGUCCUUUUUAUUUUACAUUUGACUGUAAAGAUGUUCAUUGCACUGUUGUAAUGCCAGUGUCCAAUACUGUAAAUUCUUAAUAAAAUUUACUAUAAAUUGA